rnacentral:tRNA from 1 species
UCGUCGGUGGCUCAGUGGUAGAAUACUCGCCUGUCACGCGGGUGACCCGGGUUCGAUUUCCGGCCGACGCA